ACAGGACAGAAAUACAAACCUGCGCACAGAUCUGGCCCCGCCUUUUCUGAAGCUACGCUCUUCUUCUCGGAAAAAGAACCAGGAAUGACUCAGAGAACAGGAACUACAUACCAGAGACACGAAAAGAGGGAAUUCUUUCAAGACAAAUAUCCAACAUCCAACAUGAAACCAACUUCACCGAACGUGUGUCUUCUGAUGAAAUCGGACACAUUUAAUGAUCCUGGAAGAAAAUGUCGUGUUCUGUUGAACUGUCAUGGCGCUGGAUCUGUAAUCUCCAAACCAACAAUGGCGACAGACUUUUGUCAGAUGGACUCAAACAGCUCAGCCGAGAAGAGACAAGAAGAGACAAGAAUAUAUUUAUAUUUUUUGGCAUUUCUUCGGUGAACAAACAACCUGAAAACAACAUGACGCAUGACUGAUGGACAUUACUGCUCUUUGUGGAGGAACAGGACUGUGCGUUUGCUGCGUUCCUGCCCCGAAAUAUGAGGCACAUGAGGAGGAUUAUGCGGCCUCAUCCUGGUAACAUAACUCAGGACGUUGAGGAUGUUGAAGUUUCAGUUGCUCCUGGUGCUUCUCUUCGUUCUUCUGUGUUUCUCUGGUGCCGUGGAUUCGUGCGUCGUCAAGAAGCACGAGAACGACUCAGGGACUCUGGAGUUUAACUUCCCUCCUC